rnacentral:rRNA from 1 species
UACGAAGGGGGCUAGCGUUGCUCGGAAUCACUGGGCGUAAAGGGCGCGUAGGCGGGUCUUAAGUCAGGGGUGAAAUCCUGGAGCUCAACUCCAGAACUGCCUUUGAUACUGAGGAUCUUGAGUUCGGGGAGAGGUGAGUGGAACUGCGAGUGUAGAGGUGAAAAUUCGUAGAUAUUCGCAAAGAACACCAAGUGGCGGAAAGGCGGGACUCACUGGCCCGAGUACUGACGCUGAGGCACGAAAGCGUGGGGAGCAA